rnacentral:rRNA from 1 species
UACGUAGGGGGCAAGCGUUGUCCGGAAUUAUUGGGCGUAAAGAGCUCGUAGGCGGUUUGUCGCGUCUGCUGUGAAAACUCGGGGCUUAACUCCGGGCCUGCAGUGGGUACGGGCAGACUAGAGUGCGGUAGGGGAGACUGGAAUUCCUGGUGUAGCGGUGAAAUGCGCAGAUAUCAGGAGGAACACCGGUGGCGAAGGCGGGUCUCUGGGCCGUAACUGACGCUGAGGAGCGAAAGCGUGGGAAGCGAACAGG